rnacentral:rRNA from 1 species
AGUCGAGGGGCAGCAUUUCAGUUUGCUUGCAAACUGGAGAUGGCGACCGGCGCACGGGUGAGUAACACGUAUCCAACCUGCCGAUAACUCGGGGAUAGCCUUUCGAAAGAAAGAUUAAUACCCGAUGGUAUAAUCAGACCGCAUGGUCUUAUUAUUAAAGAAUUUCGGUUAUCGAUGGGGAUGCGUUCCAUUAGGCAGUUGGUGAGGUAACGGCUCACCAAACCUUCGAUGGAUAGGGGUUCUGAGAGGAAGGUCCCCCACAUUGGAACUGAGACACGGUCCAAACUCCUACGGGAGGCAGCAGUGAGGAAUAUUGGUCAAUGGGCGCAGGCCUGAACCAGCCAAGUAGCGUGAAGGAUGACUGCCCUAUGGGUUGUAAACUUCUUUUAUAUGGGAAUAAAGUUUUCCACGUGUGGAAAUUUGUAUGUACCAUAUGAAUAAGGAUCGGCUAACUCCGUGCCAGCAGCCGCGGUAAUACGGAGGAUCCGAGCGUUAUCCGGAUUUAUUGGGUUUAAAGGGAGCGUAGGUGGACAGUUAAGUCAGUUGUGAAAGUUUGCGGCUCAACCGUAAAAUUGCAGUUGAUACUGGCUGUCUUGAGUACAGUAGAGGUGGGCGGAAUUCGUGGUGUAGCGGUGAAAUGCUUAGAUAUCACGAAGAACUCCGAUUGCGAAGGCAGCUCACUGGACUGCAACUGACACUGAUGCUCGAAAGUGUGGGUAUCAAACAGGAUUAGAUACCCUGGUAGUCCACACAGUAAACGAUGAAUACUCGCUGUUUGCGAUAUACAGUAAGCGGCCAAGCGAAAGCAUUAAGUAUUCCACCUGGGGAGUACGCCGGCAACGGUGAAACUCAAAGGAAUUGACGGGGGCCCGCACAAGCGGAGGAACAUGUGGUUUAAUUCGAUGAUACGCGAGGAACCUUACCCGGGCUUAAAUUGCAUUUGAAUAAUNUGGAAACAGGNUAGCCGCNAAGGCAAAUGUGAAGGUGCUGCAUGGUUGUCGUCAGCUCGUGCCGUGAGGUGUCGGCUUAAGUGCCAUAACGAGCGCAACCCUUAUCUUUAGUUACUAACAGGUCAUGCUGAGGACUCUAGAGAGACUGCCGUCGUAAGAUGUGAGGAAGGUGGGGAUGACGUCAAAUCAGCACGGCCCUUACGUCCGGGGCUACACACGUGUUACAAUGGGGGGUACAGAAGGCAGCUACCUGGUGACAGGAUGCUAAUCCCAAAAGCCUCUCUCAGUUCGGAUCGAAGUCUGCAACCCGACUUCGUGAAGCUGGAUUCGCUAGUAAUCGCGCAUCAGCCAUGGCGCGGUGAAUACGUUCCCGGGCCUUGUACACACCGCCCGUCAAGCCAUGAAAGCCGGGGGUACCUGAAGUACGUAACCGCAAGGAGCGUCC